rnacentral:rRNA from 1 species
CCUACGGGGGGCAGCAGUGGGGGAUAGUGCACAAUGGGGGAAACCCUGAUGCAGCGACGCCGCGUGUGGGAAGACGGUCCUCUGGAUUGUAAACCACUGUCCCCAGGGACGAAGAUGACGGUACCUGGGGAGGAAGCUCCGGCCAACUACGUGCCAGCAGCCGCGGUAAUACGUAGGGAGCGAGCGUUGUCCGGAAUUACUGGGUGUAAAGGGAGCGUAGGCGGGGCUGCAAGGUGGGUGUCAAAACUACCGGCUCAACUGGUAGUCGCACUCAAAACUGCAGCUCUUGAGUGAAGGAGAGGCAGGCGGAAUUCCUCGUGUAGCGGUGACAUGCGUAGAUAUUAGGCGGAACACCAGUGGCGAAGGCGGCCUGCUGGGCUUUUACUGCCGCUGAGGCUCGAAAGUGUGGGGAGCAAACAGGAUUAGAUACCCCUGUAGUC